rnacentral:rRNA from 1 species
UACGUAGGGUGCAAGCGUUAAUCGGAAUUACUGGGCGUAAAGCGUGUGUAGGUGGAUGCCUAAGUACCUUGUGAAAUCCCACAGCUUAACUGUGGAACUGCUUGGUAUACUGGGUGUCUUGAGUCACUCAGGGGCGAGCGGAACAAAUGGUGGAGCGGUGAAAUGCGUAGAUAUCAUUUGGAACGCCAAUGGUGAAAACAGCUCGCUGGGGGUGUACUGACACUGAGACACGAAAGCCAGGGGAGCGAACGGG